rnacentral:tRNA from 3 species
CGGGGAGUAGCGCAGCUGGUAGCGCACUUGAAUGGGGUUCAAGGGGUCAGCGGUUCGAACCCGCUCUCCCCGA